rnacentral:rRNA from 1 species
CCUACGGGAGGCAGCAGUGAGGAAUAUUGGUCAAUGGGCGAGAGCCUGAACCAGCAAAGCCGCGUGAAGGAAGAAGGCUCUAUGGGUUGUAAACUUCUUUUAUAAGGGAAUAAAGUGAGGUACGUGUUCAUUUUUGUAUGUACUAUAUGAAUACGGAUCGGCUAACUCCGUGCCAGCAGCCGCGGUAAUACGGAGGAUGCGAGCGUUAUCCGGAUUUAUUGGGUUUAAAGGGUGGGUAGAUGGGUAAUUAAGUCAGGGGUGAAAGUUUGGGGCUCAACCAUAGAACUGCUGUUGAUACUGGGUGGCUUGAGUACAGUUGAGGGAGGCGGAAUGCGUGGUGUAGCGGUGAAAUGCAUAGAUAUCACGCAGAACUCCGAUUGCGAAGGCAGCUUACUAAACUAUAACUGACAUUGAAGCACGAAAGCGUGGGGAUCAAACAGGAUUAGAUACCCUUGUAGUC